GUCAAGCGCUACUUCUCAGGCUCUCGUUCCCCUGGUAACCACAAAGUGUUAACGCGAGAUCUUCCGCAGGGUGAGAGUUCAUCCCACCUCAACAGUUUCUGCUCCUGUAAAUGUACUUUUGCCGCCCACCUGUUAAAAUUCUGCUUAAUUGCUCGUUAUGGUGUACUAAUAUAUUUCUCCACUCGAUCAGUAUUAAUAUUGAUCGAUAUUAAUCCUACAUUUUUCCUCGUUAUAAGCCCCAGUACUCAGUGGUGGAAGAAUUAUUCAGAGCGUUUGUAAAAGUAGCAAUAAUACGGUUUAAUAGCCUAACGUUACUCCAUUUCAAGUCCUGGAUCCGAAAGUAAAAGUAGCAGCUGGGCCGAGCACCUGGUGUGUAUGGAGCUGGACAUCCUCAUUGAUUACUUUAGGGAGGUGUGGUCCCAGACAUUAUGGCUCCCUUGCUGCAUCCCAGCGUAGAAAGCAAGCCACACAAGGAAAGUGAAGUAAAGCAAUUUGAACACUGAGCCCCAGUAUGACCUUUGAUUAUGAAAGGGAUACAGCGGUGCUCAUAUCCCAGGCCUCUCGGUUCCCUCUCAACAUGAUGAAUGGGACACCGUCAGCUGCAGGACAAAACAACCAUUCGAGGAUCCAGGGUUAUGUCACUCCAGCUGAGGUCACAGUGUCACACACACUGUCAGGAAAUGCUUUCUGUAGUCAAAUUCCUCAAGAAGAAA